UCACCAAACCUUCGAUGGAUAGGGGUUCUGAGAGGAAGGUCCCCCACAUUGGAACUGAGACACGGUCCAAACUCCUACGGGAGGCAGCAGUGAGGAAUAUUGGUCAAUGGGCGCAGGCCUGAGCCAGCCAAGUAGCGUGAAGGAUGACUGCCCUAUGGGUUGUAAACUUCUUUUAUAUGGGAAUAAAGUUUUCCACGUGUGGAAUU
rnacentral:rRNA from 1 species